GGCGCGCAAAUUACCCACUCCCGGCACGGGGAGGUAGUGACGAAAAAUAACGAUACGGGACUCAUCCGAGGCCCCGUAAUCGGAAUGAGUACACUUUAAAUCCUUUAACAAGGAUCAAUUGGAGGGCAAGUCUGGUGCCAGCAGCUGCGGUAAUUCCAGCUCCAAUAGCGUAUAUUAAAGUUGUUGCGGUUAAAAAGCUCGUAGUCGAAUUUGUGUCUCAUGCCGCUGGUUCAUCGUUCGCGGUGUAAACUGGCGUGACAUGGGACGUCCUGCCGGUGGGCUUAGCCCUUUUUGGGGUGGCCCUAUACAAUCCUGCCGCGUUGCUCUUAAUCGAGUGUCGAGGUGGGCCGGCUCAUUUACUUUGAACAAAUUAAAGUGCUUAAAGCAGGCUAAAAUUUUGCCUGAAUAUGUGUGCAUGGAAUAAUGGAAUAGGACCUCGGUUCUAUUUUGUUGGUUUUAGGAACCCCGAGGUAAUGAUUAAUAGGAACGGAUGGGGGCAUUCGUAUUGCGACGUUAGAGGUGAAAUUCUUGGAUCGUCGCAAGACGAACAUAAGCGAAAGCAUUUGCCAAAAACGUUUUCAUUGAUCAAGAACGAAAGUUAGAGGUUCGAAGGCGAUCAGAUACCGCCCUAGUUCUAACCAUAAACGAUGCCAGCCAGCGAUCCGCCGAUGUUCCUCCGAUGACUCGGCGGGCAGCUUCCGGGAAACCAAAGCUUUUGGGUUCCGGGGGAAGUAUGGUUGCAAAGCUGAAACUUAAAGGAAUUGACGGAAGGGCACCACCAGGAGUGGAGCCUGCGGCUUAAUUUGACUCAACACGGGAAACCUCACCAGGCCCAGACACUGGAAGGAUUGACAGAUUGAGAGCUCUUUCUUGAUUCAGUGGGUGGUGGUGCAUGGCCGUUCUUAGUUGGUGGAGCG
rnacentral:rRNA from 1 species